rnacentral:sRNA from 2 species
UCAUGCACAACGCACCACGGCAGGGGCGGGGGAACCAGGUAAGUCGCCCCGGGCGGUCGCAGGACCGCACGGGGCUUGGGGUGAAGCCGGGCGCACCGCGAGGUGUGCUCGGCCGGGCGACUCCGGCCCGAAUCCGACAGCUCACCUCGCAGGCGUGGGAGAGGAACGCU